UCACGUAUGAUUAAAAGAUAGUAGUGUAAGUAGAGGUAGAGGGUAUACAUCCACAAAUGCUACUUUUGUUUGUGUUGUGUGUAUUUUGUGUGCAUUUUAUGUACACUACCAGUCAAAAUGUCACAGACACAGCUUAAGGCUGUGGGCUGUGGUAGUGCUCUCUCCUCCCUCGGCCCUGCUCUCUCUCUCUCCUAGGUGUGUUCGUGGUGAAGCUGGCAGCAGGUGUGUUGCAUGAUAAUCAGCAGAUGAGCUGCAGGUGGGAGCUGAGUGAUUGGUCUCUGGGCGUCUCCAUAAAAGCAGACUGCACCCGUCAUUCGAAGCUGGACCGUUGUCUAAUCUCCAUGAAGCGAACUCCUGCCUGCUGUGUUCUGGGAUCUUCAAGUCUGCUGGUCCUCCGCUCUGCCUUGGAUUCUGCUCUAACGGAGGAUUCCACCUCUUGCCAGCUUCAUCCUGGGAACCACAGGCUUCUUCUUGGACAGAACACUCUGGGAGAAAUACCUACCUUCAACGAACUCUUGGAUGACUACUUAUCUUCCACGUGUUGAGUUCCUGAAAAGGGAAUGAGCUGGGAAAAGCCAGGCCAAGGACUGUAUUUCUACUCGUCAGCUAAAUUUCCAAGCCCUGGUAUCACCAGACUAUUAGUUUAAUAUUUUAUACGUUGAAUUAUUACAAUCUGCAUUCUGUACUAAAUAUUAAUGGUUUUUUUAUGCUUUGCAUAAAAUAGGUUUUAGCCUGGGGAUUUCUGUUCAGGAUUAGUUUGAGUUUAAGCUGGGUUAGUUCUUGUAUUUUUUUUUUUUUGUUGUUUUCCUACCUUGGUAAUACCAUACGUGGGUUAACCGUACUUUAAGUUUUCAUCCUUGUGUAGUUAUCCUCCGUACCACUAGAUGGUUUCUGGUGUUCUUAGUUUAAUUUAGUUUCUGAGUUGGAGUUCUAUUUCCGGUUCCUGUAUAUCUUUCUCAUUGUAAAUAAAGCAUUGUUAAAACA